rnacentral:rRNA from 1 species
AACGCUAGCUACAGGCUUAACACAUGCAAGUCGAACGGAUUCUGGAUUCGUCUGGAAUUAGUGGCAAACGGAUGAGUAACACGUAUCCAACCACCCUGCGACUCGGGGAUAGCCUCUUGAAAGGGAGAUUAAUAUCCGAUGUACUGUUUUUGGUGCAUGCCAUUUUCAGUAAGGUUUUUUACGGUCGCUGACGGGGAUGCGUUCCAUUAGAUAGUCGGUGUGGUAACGGCUCACCGAGUCUAUGAUGGAUAGGGGUUCUGAGAGGAAGGUCCCCCACAUUGGAACUGCGAAACGGUCCAAACUCCUACGGGAGGCAGCAGUGAGGAAUAUUGGUCAAUGGGCGAAAGCCUGAACCAGCUAUGUAGCGUGAAGGAUGACUGCCCUAUGGGUUGUAAACUUCUUUUGUUCGGGAAUAACAGACUUCACUUGUGGAGUUUUGCAUGUACCGUUCGAAUAAGGAUCGGCUAACUCCGUGCCAGCAGCCGCGGUAAUACGGAGGAUCCUAGCGUUAUUCGGAUUUAUUGGGUUUAAAGGGAGCGUAGGCGGGGGGUCAAGUCAGCUGUGAAAUACGUACGCUUAACGUUCGUCUUGCAGUUGAAACUGGUUUUCUUGAGUGCGUAUGAGGCAGGCGGAAUUCAUGGUGUAGCGGUGAAAUGCUUAGAUAUCACGAAGAACUCCGAUUG